rnacentral:rRNA from 1 species
AACGUAGGAUCCGAGCGUUAUCCGAAUUUACUGGGCGUAAAGCGCGUGCAGGCGGUUCGAUAAGUUGGGUGUGAAAUCUCCUGGCUCAACUGGGAGAGGUCGUUCAAUACUGUCGGACUUGAGGAUGGUAGAGGGAGGUGGAAUUCCCGGUGUAGUGGUGAAAUGCGUAGAUAUCGGGAGGAACACCAGUGGCGAAAGCGGCCUCCUGGACCAUUUCUGACGCUCAGACGCGAAAGCUAGGGGAGCGAAC